rnacentral:tRNA from 1 species
GGCUGCGUAGCUCAACUGGAUAGAGCACUUGACUACGAAUCAAGAGGUUUCAGGUUCGAAUCCUGACGCGGUCACAA